GACGAACGCUGGCGGCGUGCUUAACACAUGCAAGUCGAACGGGCCUGUCUUCUUUUUUGGGGGGUGGGUUGAGUGGCGAACGGGUGAGUAUCACGUGAGUAACCUGCCCUUCGGUCCUGGAUAACCGCUUGAAAGGGCGGCUAAUACGGGGUGGUCCGGUUGGUCCGCAUGGGCUGGUCGGGAUAGAUUCACUGUUUUUGGUGUUUCGGCGGGGGAUGGGCUCGCGGCCUAUCAGCUUGUUGGUGGGGUGAUGGCCUACCAAGGCGGUGACGGGUAGCCGGCCUGAGAGGGUGGGCGGCCACACUGGGACUGAGAUACGGCCCAGACUCCUGCGGGAGGCAGCAGUGGGGGGUAUUGCACAAUGGGCGGAAGCCUGAUGCAGCGACGUCGCGUGAGGGAGGGUGGCCUUCGGGUUGUGAACCUCUGUUUCCGGUGGUGAAGGCCCUGUCCGUGUGGUGGGGUUGACGGUAGCCGGGGAUGAAGCGCCGGCUAACUACGUG
rnacentral:rRNA from 1 species